rnacentral:lncRNA from 12 species
AUGGGCAGUAUAAGUAGAGGGAAGCUCAGAGUACAGGAAAGCAAGGGCAUCCGAAGCAGUCUUGUGCUGGGGGUUGGGUGGCCAAGCACAGGCAGAUGCCUGAAGCUGCAACAAGGCCCUGGCUCUGUGUCUUUGAGUGAGCACCAGCAGACCCAGCCAAGUUUAAAAGAUGUUGGUGUGAAGGCAAUGAUCAAAAAAUUGAUGGAAUCUGUGCACUAUGGAGCCAGUUUCAGGAUGGCUGAGCUUAUGGUCAAGACAGAAGAAAAGAUAUGGAGCUUUCUGAAUUUGGGGGAGGCAACACUGAUAUUUAGACCCACGGUUCGGUAUACCUCAUUAAAACUGGAAAAAUCCUGA